AGGUCUGUCGCCAAGCGGUAAGGCAACGGGUUUUGAUCCCGUCAUACCUAGGUUCGAAUCCUAGCAGA
rnacentral:tRNA from 1 species